AAGUGACUGAUAUGACUAGGGGUGGACAAAAACCGUGAAACCGGCCCAACCCUUGGAAAACCGAAAAACAAAAAGAAAAUGGGCGGGUCCAAUCGGACUAACGGGUCCAAUGGGUGAAACUUGCGGUUUCACGUGGUUUCAAAUGGGCGGGCUGGGUAGGAAAUGUUGCACCGCAGGUACCCAGACCCGCCCGAAUGACUAUUGAGAAACGAUGUCGUUGUCAUUUGGGGGUGUAAUACUAGCUUCAAGCUUCAGACCACAUCUCACUUCACACACUUUCUCUCUCUGAUGAAACCCUAGCAGCCACAAUCUCCUCUCACCACCGCCAUCGUUUCAUCACUCCCCACCACCGUUGCUCACCAGUCACCACCACCGUUGCUUACCAGUCACCAUCAUCAUCAUCAUCACCAUUUUUAUUCAUUCAUUUUACGUGUUCUCUCUUUUUCUCUCUCUUUCUGAUGAAACAAACUAUAUCCGUCUCUCAUGCUCUCCGCACCUCCAAGUCUUCCUUUCUCCAUUUUUCUUCUCUCAUCACUUUCGUUUGCAAGGAUGCAUUUUUUCUGAUCUAUGAGCUGAAGGUGUAAAGGUGUGUAAUUUUAUUUCUUACCCUUUCUAUUUUCUAACUUCUUUAGUGAUAGUUCUAACUUUUGAUUGGGGUUAUUGUUUGGUUUGUUUUUAUGAUUUGUUCUGUUACUCUUGACUCUCCAUAUAAAUUUCAUAUGUCUCUCCAUCUCUAUGAGGUACGUGUUGUUUUGUAUGAUUUGGUUUCAGUUUACAGUUCACAACAAGUUAUUGAUCUAGCCAAGCAUCAAAAUGAGCAUUUUAGAGUUUAAGGCCAACAAAUUCUGUUACGGGACAGCAGCUAGAACAUCUAUAGUGUAUUCUAAAAGAGUUACAUUUCAAAAAGAGUCUUUGAACUUUCUAAAUGCAGCAUCUCUAACUGAAUAUGAGAAUGCAGAAGGGAGGUUCAACCUUGGACUCGAAAAUGCGAUUUCGAUGAAUCUAGAUGCGGCUUAUCAUAAUAUAAUGAGGUACUCAAAAAUGACGGUUGGAAGCUCUGCAAGAGGUUGGCAGCUGUAAGCUCUCAUAGUAUCUGCACAUAAGAGGUUUACCGAUUCUGAAACUAUAGUUAAUUUUGCUUUAGACGAUGCCGCGAGCGUAGAGUAAACAUUAAUUUAUGUGAAAACUAGUUAUAAUUACAAUAAUUUUCAUUUAUUAUGAUAUGAACUUAUUGUUUGGUGAUGAUAUUAGAACACAAGUUCUAUUGAAUUUCUAUUAAAACUAGUUAAUUGAAUUUCUAUUGCUUUAUCUUUGCAGACAUUAAUGGAACAGAAGUUGGAAAGGGAAGCAUGGUAUGAGCUUGUGAGGCUGUCUGGUGUUAUCUUGGUGUAUUGUGUAAAUUUUUGUUGUCUUGUUUGGUUUAUAUAAGUGGGUAGAAGCUUGGAGCAGAUGAAUGAAAACCUCCUUCCAUAACCAAUGGAGAUAUGGUUACAUAUGGCUAAAGUAUCUUUUGCAAAUGUAUAAACAAGCAGCAUUUUGCUCCGAGGAAGUGAUAUUGAAUGUGUUGGUUGUAAAUAUUGAAUGUGUUGGUUGUAAUAAUUUGUAAUUGUAACUUAUAAGAUUGAAUGUGUCAUUGAAUCAUACUGGUAUCAUGUUUAACUAAGGUCCAAGAUGAUAUUUGGCCAAUUAUUAAUUAUAUCAUUUUGUAGAA